AUUGAACGCUGGCGGCAUGCCUUACACAUGCAAGUCGAACGGUAACAGGUCUUCGGAUGCUGACGAGUGGCGAACGGGUGAGUAAUACAUCGGAACGUGCCUAGUAGUGGGGGAUAACUACUCGAAAGAGUGGCUAAUACCGCAUGAGAUCUACGGAUGAAAGCAGGGGAUCGCAAGACCUUGUGCUACUAGAGCGGCCGAUGGCAGAUUAGGUAGUUGGUGGGAUAAAAGCUUACCAAGCCGACGAUCUGUAGCUGGUCUGAGAGGACGAUCAGCCACACUGGGACUGAGAAACGGCCCAGACUCCUACGGGAGGCAGCAGUGGGGAAUUUUGGACAAUGGGCGCAAGCCUGAUCCAGCAAUGCCGCGUGCAGGAUGAAGGCCUUCGGGUUGUAAACUGCUUUUGUACGGAACGAAAAGCCCCGGGUUAAUACCCUGGGGUCAUGACGGUACCGUAAGAAUAAGCACCGGGUAACUACUUGCCAGCCGCCGCCGUAA
rnacentral:rRNA from 1 species